rnacentral:rRNA from 1 species
AACGAACGCUGGCGGCAUGCCUAACACAUGCAAGUCGAACGGGACCUUCGGGUCUGGUGGCGCACGGGUGCGUAGCGCGGGGGAAGCUGCCGGUAGGUUCGGAAUACCACCCUGACGGGGGGGCUAAUGCAGGAUAAUGUAUUCUGACAAAAGAUUUAUCGUGUUUGUAUGGGCCCGCGUUGUAUUAGCUUGUUGGUAGUGUAAAAGCCUACCAAGGCGACGAUCCAUAGCUGGGCUGUGAGGAUGAUCAGCCACACUGGGACUGAGACACGGCCCAGACUCCUACGCGAGGCAGCAGUGCGGAAUAUUGGACAAUGGGGGAAAGCCUGAUCCAGCAAUGCCGCGUGAGUGAUGAAGGCCUUAGGGUUGUAAAGCUCGUUUACCCGGGACGAUAAUGACGGUACCGGAAGAAUAAGCACCGGCUAACUCCGUG